rnacentral:rRNA from 1 species
CCUACGGGAGGCAGCAGUAGGGACUCUUUCACAAUGGGCGAAAGCCUGAUGGAGCAACGCCGCGUGCAGGAUGAAGGCCUUCGGGUUGUAAACUGCUUUUAUAAGCGAGAAAUAUGAUGGUAACUUAUGAAUAAGGAUCGGCUAACUACGUGCCAGCAGCCGCGGUCAUACGUAUGAUCCGAGCAUUAUCCGGAGUGACUGGGUGUAAAGAGUUGCGUAGGUGGCAUAAUAAGUAGCUAGUGAAAUCUGGUGGCUCAACCAUUCAGACUAUUAGCUAAACUGUUAAGCUCGAGACCGUUAGGGGUAACUGGAAUGUCUAGUGUAGGAGUGAAAUCCGUAGAUAUUAGAAGGAACACCAAUAGCGUAGGCAGGUUGCUGGGACGGUUCUGACACUAAGGCACGAAAGCGUAGGGAGCAAACGGGAUUAGAUACCCGGGUAGUC